rnacentral:tRNA from 1 species
AAUAAUGUGCCUGAUUUAAAGGAUUAUCUUGAUAGGAUAAAUCAAGUAAUUACAUUACCAUUAUUA